AGCUUGCUGCUUCGCUGACGAGUGGCGGACGGGUGAGUAAUGUCUGGGAAACUGCCUGAUGGAGGGGGAUAACUACUGGAAACGGUAGCUAAUACCGCAUAACGUCGCAAGACCAAAGAGGGGGACCUUCGGGCCUCUUGCCAUCGGAUGUGCCCAGAUGGGAUUAGCUNGUNGGUGGGGUAACGGCUCACCUAGGCGACGAUCCCUAGCUGGUCUGAGAGGAUGACCAGCCACACUGGAACUGAGACACGGUCCAGACUCCUACGGGAGGCAGCAGUGGGGAAUAUUGCACAAUGGGCGCAAGCCUGAUGCAGCCAUGCCGCGUGUAUGAAGAAGGCCUUCGGGUUGUAAAGUACUUUCAGCGGGGAGGAAGGGAGUAAAGUUAAUACCUUUGCUCAUUGACGUUACCCGCAGAAGAAGCACCGGCUAACUCCGUGCCAGCAGCCGCGGUAAUACGGAGGGUGCAAGCGUUAAUCGGAAUUACUGGGCGUAAAGCGCACGCAGGCGGUUUGUUAAGUCAGAUGUGAAAUCCCCGGGCUCAACCUGGGAACUGCAUCUGAUACUGGCAAGCUUGAGUCUCGUAGAGGGGGGUAGAAUUCCAGGUGUAGCGGUGAAAUGCGUA
rnacentral:rRNA from 1 species